AGGUUGGAGCUACACUGCUUGGUCCCACUUGGGAAGGAGCAGAGAGGAGAGCUGUGAACAUCAUGUGCAAUGGCUUUACUCUUUACCAUCUCUGAAGAGGGUAGACCUUUGCUUUUCUCUUGAAAGUUUUGAUGUCAUCUAUUGUUAUUAGACCAGGACUUUCAUUAGAGGUCCAUGUCAGUGUUAAAAUGACUAGUAUGCUGGUCAAAAGUUUGGUGGGAUGCAAAUGAACUAGUUCGCCUUAAAUCAGCUAUUGUCACUGAGCAAAUAACAGAGUCUUCUGUUUAAAAUACUCUGUUUCACUUGCCUAUUGCGGCAUGAAAAAUGACCCCAAAACUCACUGGCUUAAAACAACCACCAUUGUAUUUGUUCACAAUUAUUUUGUGGGACAGAAUUUUGGAUUCAGAAUAGCAGGGAUGGCCUGUCUCUGCUCUGUGAUGCCUGGGGGCAGUGGCAUUGUCUUGAAUGGCUGGAAACUGGCUGGAAUGGCUUGACUCAGUCAUAUGCCUGGAGCCUCAGUUACAGCUGUUGCCUGGAGCUUCAGUUAUGGCUGUUGCCUGGAUUCCUCAGCUUUCCUUGGUGUGGGCUCUCCAAGAGGCUAGCUUAGACUUCCUCACAGUAUGGUGUCUCAGGGUAAUUGAACUUCUCACAUGGUAGCUGGCUGCCUAUAGGGCAUUCCAAGAGAAUAACUCCCAAUGUGAAAGCAUUUAGUAAGCCUCUGCUUGUGUCAAGCUUGUUGAUGUUCCAUUGGCCAAAUCAAGUCUCAUGACCAAGCCCAGCGUCAAUGUGGGAGGCAGUAGAGAAAGGCCUGACUGCUGGAGGCAUGGAUGCAUUGGGGCCACCAAUAUGUACAGCAUACCCAGAAAAUAAAACCAUUAUUUAAAUGAGAAAUUUAAAUGCACAUU
rnacentral:lncRNA from 1 species